AACGCGAAGAACCUUACCUGGGUUUGACAUCCUGGUGAAACCCUCCUGAAAGGGAGGGCCUCCUUCGGGACACCAGGACAGGUGCUGCAUGGCUGUCGUCAGCUCGUGUCGUGAGAUGUUGGGUUAAGUCCCGCAACGAGCGCAACCCUUGCCCCGUGUUACUAACAGGUCAAGCUGAGGACUCUCGGGGGACUGCCGGCGUCAAGCCGGAGGAAGGUGGGGACGACGUCAAGUCAUCAUGGCCCUUACGCCCAGGGCUACACACGUGCUACAAUGGCCAGGACAGAGGGCUGCAAGACGGCAACGUGGAGCGAAUCCCAUAAACCUGGUCUAAGUUCGGAUUGCGGGCUGCAACUCGCCCGCAUGAAGCCGGAAUCGCUAGUAAUCGCGGAUCAGCUACGCCGCGGUGAAUACGUUCCCGGGCCUUGUACACACCG
rnacentral:rRNA from 1 species